rnacentral:sRNA from 1 species
UUUGAAGUCUGAACAUAUUAACUUAAACUAGAUUUUAACCCGCGGUAUACCGCGGGACGAUUUAUUUUUAAAAAUAAUAUAUAUUAAAACUUGCAAAUUUUAUUUUUACAAAAUAUUUAUAUUUUACAGUUUAUAAUUGUUAUUAAGUAACGCUAUACCACGAAUUCCUGAGACAAUUGUUAAGAAACUGAAGUUUUGACCCCUAUUAAAAAAGCAUAUUAAUAAUAUUUUAAAAUUUUAUAAAUAUUGAUUCAAAUACAUCCACCAUAUAACCCAAUUCCAAAAUAAAACACGUUAUGUAAUUUUUUUACCCGUCCAGUGAUUUUUUUUUAAAGUAGUAAUUUUUAAAAUUUAAGAAUUAUUUUUUAUAUAUAAAAGUUUUGCAAAUUGUAUCAUUCUCUAAUACAUUUAUAUUUUAUAGUUUAAUUUUAUAUAUAGUAACAUUAUACAUACCACAUAACAUUUUUGGUUUUAUAUAAUUUUUUCUAAAUUAGGAUGAUUUGAUAUGUUUAAUAUUAGUGGUCUUAAAAAAUAAUAAAUUAAAGAUUUAACCCAUAUUGAAACGGUGGAUUAAUUAUAUUUUACUUUUUUAUUAAUGUUGAUUCAAAACCCUGUCCCUCCAAAUCCGUCUUGCCAAAAAGUCAUUUAUUUUAUUAAUAUUAAUUUUAUUAAUGAUAUGACUCUGAAUUAUAAUCUAAACAUUUUAACUAAUAACAUAGGAGUGCACCAUAUUUACUUAAUAGGGGAAUGUACCAUAUGACCCGAAUGCAUUUUUAUCCAAAUCCACCAAAAAAGUCUUGCAAAAAUACUAUAGAGAUAAGAAACGAUAGUCGGUUUUGAUAGAUAUAAGAUUAGCAAAUAUAUUAGUUAGCUUAAAUUAGUUAAAGAAUACAAAUUAAAAAAGUAUAU